GGCGGAACAGAGAGUCCGUCGUGAAAUCUCAGAGCUUAACUCGGAAAGUGCGGUGGAUACUAUUGUUCUUGAGUACUGUGGAGGUUAGCGGAAUAUGUCAUGUAGCUGUGAAAUGUAUAGAUAUACCACAGAACAGCAAGUGCGAAGGCAGCUGGCUACACAGAUAUUGACGCUGAAGCACGAGAGCGUGGGGAUCAAACAGGAUCAGAUAGCCCGGUCGUUCACGCCUUAAACGAUGAUUACUGGACAUUUGCGAUACACAGCAAGUGUCUGAGCGAAAGCAUUAAGUAAUCCACGAGGGAAGUACGACCGCAAGGUUGAAACUCAAAGGAAUUGAGGGGGGUCCGCACGAGCGGUGGAGCAUGUGGUUUAAUUCAAUGAUACGCGAGGAACCUUACUUGGGCAAGACUGCUGGGGGACCGGGGGUGAAAGCUCCCUUUGUAGCAAUACACAGCCAGUAAGGUGAUGCAUGGCGGUAGUCAGCUCGUGCCGUGAGGUGUUGGGUUAAGUCCCGCAACGAGCGCAACCCCUAUCACUAGUUGCCAACAGGUCAAGCUGGGAACAAUAGUGAAACGACAGUCGUAAGACGCGAGGAAGGAGGGGAUGAUGUCAAGUCACCAUGGCCUUUAUGCCCAGGGCUACACACAUGGUACAUUGGUAGGAACAAAGGGCUGCUACGGGGUAACUGGUUUCCAAUCUCAAAAAUCCUAUCUCAGUUCAUAUUGAGGUCUGCAACUCGACCUCAUGAAGCCGGGAUCGCUAGUAAUAGCAUAU
rnacentral:rRNA from 1 species